AGCGAACGCUGGCGGCAGGCCUAACACAUGCAAGUCGAACGGAUCCUUCGGGAUUAGUGGCGGACGAGUGAGUAACACGUGGGAACGUGCCCUUUGGUUCGGAACAACCCAGGGAAACUUGAGCUAAUACCGGAUGUGCCCUUCGGGGGAAAGAUUUAUCGCCAUUGGAGCGGCCCGCGUCUGAUUAGCUAGUUGGUGAGGUAACGGCCCACCAAGGCGACGAUCAGUAGCUGGUCUGAGAGGAUGAUCAGCCACACUGGGACUGAGACACGGCCCAGACUCCUACGGGAGGCAGCAGUGGGGAAUCUUGCGCAAUGGGCGAAAGCCUGACGCAGCCAUGCCGCGUGAAUGAUGAAGGUCUUAGGAUUGUAAAAUUCUUUCAGCGGGGACGAUAAUGACGGUACCCGCAGAAGAAGCUCCGGCUAACUUCGUG
rnacentral:rRNA from 1 species